UACGGAGGGUGCGAGCGUUGUCCGGAAUCAUUGGGCGUAAAGGGCGCGUAGGUGGCCUGAUAAGGGUGUGGUGAAAGUCCGGGGCUCAACCCCGGAUCUGCCGUGCCGACUGUUGGGCUGGAGUACUGUAGGGGCAGGCGGAAUUCCGGGUGUAGCGGUGGAAUGCGUAGAGAUCCGGAGGAAGACCGGUGGCGAAGGCGGCCUGCUGGGCAGUUACUGACACUGAGGCGCGACAGCGUGGGGAGCAAACAGG
rnacentral:rRNA from 1 species